UGGGCGCAAGCCUGAUGGAGCAACACCGCGUGAGUGAAGAAGGGUUUCGGCUCGUAAAGCUCUGUUGUUGGAGAAGAACGUGCGUGAGAGUAACUGUUCACGCAGUGACGGUAUCCAACCAGAAAGUCACGGCUAACUACGUGCC
rnacentral:rRNA from 1 species